rnacentral:lncRNA from 1 species
CUCCACUCAGUCAUCACCCAGGGACUAGGACUAAUAUAAUGAUUCUGUCAUUCUCAACAGGAAGCUUCCACCUCUGGCUCCGGUGCAGCUGCAUCAGUUAUUGCCAAUUAUUAACUAAAGAUAAGGGGCAAACAGAGAGAGGAGCCAAGCUAAGUUUCUUCAAGGGAGAAUCUAGAAAUAACAUCCAUUACUUUUCAUACACUACUGAUGGGAAUUCAGACACAUGGCCACACUUGGUUGCAAGAGAGGCUGGGAAUUCAACUCCGCAGGAUGUCCAUAUGACUCUUUAAAACUCACAAGUUUCUGCUACUGAAAGGAAGAAAGGGAACAUGGAUAUUUCAAAACAAAAGACUUUAGCACAGGUAUGUCUUUAACAGCAGUGUGAAAAUGAACUAAUACAGUAAAUUGGUACCAGUAGAGUGAGGCACUGCUUAAAAGAUACUUGAAAAUGUGGAAGUGACUUUGGAACUGGGUAACAGGCAGAGGUUUGAACAGUUUGGAGGGCUCAGAAGACAGGAAAAUGUGGGAAAGUUUGGAACUCCCUACAGACUUGUUGAAUGGCUUUCCUCAAAAUGAUGAUAGCAAUAUGGACAAUAAAGUCUGUGUUGAGAUGUCUCAGAUAGAGAUUGAGAACUUGUUGGGAACUGGAGUAAAGAUGACUCUUGUUAUGUUUUAGCAAAGAGACUGGUAGCAUUUUGCCCCUGCCCUAGAGAUCUGUGGAACUUUUAACUUGAGAGAGAUGAUUUAGGGUAUCUGGAGAAUAAAACUUCUAAGCAGCAAAGCAUUUAAGAGGCAAGUUGGGUGCUGUUAAAGGCAUUCAGUUUUAUAAGGGAAGCAGAUCACAAAAGUUUGGAAACUUUGCAGCCUGGCAAUGCAAUAGAAAAGAAAAUCUCAUUUUCUGAGGUGAAAUUAAAGCUGGCUGCAGAAAUUUACAUGUUACAAGGAGCCGAAUAUUAAUCCCCAAAACAAUGGGGAAAAUGCCUCCAGGACAUUUCAGAGGUCUUCACAGCAGGUGCUCCCAUCACAGGCCUGGAGGCCCAGGAGGAAAAAGUGGUUUCAUGGUCCGGGCCUAGGGUCCCCAUGCUGUGUGCAGCCUAUGGACUUGGUACCCUAUGUCCCAGCUGCUCCAGCCAUGGCUGAAAGGAGCCAACAUACAGCUUGGGCUGUGGCUUCAGAGGGUAGAAGCCCAAACCUUGCCAGAUUCCAUGUUUUGUUGAGCCUGCAGGUGUGCAGAAGUCAAGAAUUGAGGUUUGGGAACCUCUGUCUAGAUUUCAAAUGCUGUAUGGAAAUGCCUGGAUACCCAGGCAGUUUGCUGCAGGGGCGGGGCCCUCAUGGAGAACCUCUGCUAGGGUAGUGCAGAAGGGAGAUGUGGGGUUGAAGUCCCCACACAGAGUCCCUACUGGGGCACCACCUAGUGGGUUGUGAGAAGAGGGCCACAGUCCUCCAGACCCCAGAAUGGUAGAUUCACCAACAGCCUGCAUCAUCCACCUGGAAAAGCCAUGGACACUCAACGCCAGUCCAUGAAAGCAGCUGGAGGGAGGCUGUACCUUGCAAAGCCACAGGAUCAGAGCUGCCCAAGACCAUGGGAACCCACCUCUUGCAUCAGCAUGACCCAGAUGUGAGACAGGAGUCAAAGGAGAUCAUUUGGGAACUUUAAGAUUUGACUGCCUUGCUGGAUUUUGGACUUGUAAUGGGUCCAUAGCCCCUCUGUUUUGGCCAAUUUCUCCCAUUUGGAACUGCUGUAUUUACCCAAUGCCUAUACCACCCUGUAUCUAGGAAGUAACUAGCUUGCUUUUGAUUUUACAAGCUUGUAGGAGGAAGGGACUUGCCUUGUCUCAGAUGAGACUUUGCACUGUGGACUUUUGAGUUAAUGCUGAAAUGAGUGAAGACUUUGGGGGCCUGUUGGGAAGGCAUGAUUGGUUUUGAAAUGUAAGGAUAUGAGAUUUGGGAGGGGCCAGGGGCAAAAUGAUAUGGUUUGGUUCUGUGUCCCCACCCAAAUGUCAUCUUGAAUGGUAACUCUCACAAUUCCCAUGUGUCAUGGGAGGGACCCAGUGGGAGGUAACUGAAUCAUGAGGGCAGGUCUUUCUCAUGCUGUUCUCGUGAUAGUGAAUAAGUCUCAUGGGAUCUGAUGGUUUUAUUAAAAAAAGUUGCCCUGUACAAGUUCUCUCUCUUUGCCUACCACCAUCCAUUUAAGAUGUGACUUGCUCCUCUUUGCCUUCUGCCGUG